GAUGAACGCUGGCGGCGUGCCUAAUACAUGCAAGUCGAGCGAACAGACGAGGAGCUUGCUCCUCUGACGUUAGCGGCGGACGGGUGAGUAACACGUGGAUAACCUACCUAUAAGACUGGGAUAACUUCGGGAAACCGGAGCUAAUACCGGAUAAUAUAUUGAACCGCAUGGUUCAAUAGUGAAAGACGGCUUUGCUGUCACUUAUAGAUGGAUCCGCGCCGCAUUAGCUAGUUGGUAAGGUAACGGCUUACCAAGGCUACGAUGCGUAGCCGACCUGAGAGGGUGAUCGGCCACACUGGAACUGAGACACGGUCCAGACUCCUACGGGAGGCAGCAGUAGGGAAUCUUCGGCAAUGGGCGAAAGCCUGACGGAGCAACGCCGCGUGGGUGAUGAAGGUCUUCGGAUCGUAAAGCUCUGUUAUUAGGGAAGAACAAAUGUGUAAGUAAAUAUGCACGUCUUGACGGUACCUAAUCAGAAAGCAACGGCUAACUACGUG
rnacentral:rRNA from 1 species